rnacentral:lncRNA from 1 species
UAUUAGAGUUUGGUUAGGAUUUGGUUUGGGAUUUAGGGUUUCGAUUAGGAUUUGAUUUAGGAUUUAGGAUUUAGAUUAGGAUUUAGUUUAGAGUUUAGGAUUUGGAUUAGGAUUGGUUUAGGAUUUAGGAUUUGGAUAGGAUUUGAUUUAGGAUUUAGGAUUUGGAUAGGAUUUGAUUUAGGAUUUAGGAUUUGAUUAGGAUUUGGUUUAAGGUUUAGAGUUUAGGAUUUGGGUAGGAUUUGGUUUAGGAUUUAGGAUUUGGAUUAGGGUUUGGUUAGGGUUUGAUUUAGGAUUUAGGAUUUGGUUUAGGGUUUGGUUAGGAUUUGAUUUAGGAUUUGGUUGGGUUUUGAUUUAGGGUUUAGGAUUUUAGUAGGAUUUAAGAUUCAAUUAGUUUUGGCCUAAAUUUUGAAUGAAGUUCAAUAGGAUUUUAACUAGAAUUAAAUUGAGAUUGAAUUGAGAUGUAUUUGAAUGACAUUUGUGUUCUUUUUAAUAUUUCUUUAAGAAUUCUUAUUGUUUGUUUGAAAUUUCUUUGAGAUUUUUUUGAAUUUGAUUAAGCUUGCUUAGCAUUAUUAUGGUCUAAUUAGAGCAUUGUUAGUAUUCUAUUAGAAUUAGGAUUUUAUUAUUGCAAUUUCCAUUCUUCCUUCCACAGUCAGGUGCCUGGAGCAUUCUCAAGCAAGACUUCACGUAUUACGACACCGCUGUUGUAUUGUAACACGACCAUAUGGUGAAAGAUAAUAAUAUGGAUCUUAUUAUAGAAGAGCCUAGUUAAAAGAUAAAGUAGAAAAAUAUGGAUAAAAGAUAGAAAGGUAGUAAAAUUUUUACUACUAAAACUGUCUUUUUAAAAAAAAUAGCUUCUACUUACUAUGUAGGACAAAAAAUAAGGCAAAAUAAGAUAGAUUGAAAAAAUAAAUGAUGUAGACAUCUUUAUGAAAAAGUUAAGAGUAAAUUCUAGCAAAAAUUAUCUAAAAAACUAAAUAUUGAUAUCCGAGGAGGAUUGAUUAUUAACCUCGGUCGAAAUCAGACCCUGAGACACAAAACCAAGUACCUACGGCAAAUCGGAGGUUUUUUUGCAAAUCAAAGAAAGGAAUUUGAUAGCAAAUUAGAUAAGGUUUCUAUAAGCAUUAGUUUUGGACAAUUUGGAGUUUUUAAGACUUUGUAAGAGCUUUUUAAAGUCAAGAUUUUUUUUGGAUGACUUGGGUUUUACAAAAUAAAAUAGGGUUGAUGUUUCUAGUGAUUUCAAGAGUUUUGUAAUAGAUCUACAAGUGAAAUUUUGUGGAUUAAUGAUCAUAGUUGUGCUUAAUAUGUAUUGUGAAUCUUACCUUGAUCUAAUAGUUGAAUUGAGGGUAAUUGAAGUUUAAGUGAGUCAAGGUCUUAGAAAGUAGAAUUUUAGGUCUAAAGAGGAUUUUUUAAAUUUCUUGCAAUCUAUUAAUUGGAUUGGAAUAAAAUUUAUGUGAGAGGAUAUAAGACUUGUUUUUCUAUAUAUAUGAGAAUUUUGAAAUCAAUCGAAUGAUGAAAAAGAAGAGAUAUUGGCUCUGGGAGAUUGGCAUCAAGGUUGGAGAAGGAGGCUGAUCAAUACCUGAGCACAUUUUUGAAGUUAUCGUCUAUUUGGUAAUUCUGAUGAUUUUCAAAUUUUUUAUGCUUAUUUUAAACUUAGUUUUUAAGAAGCGUGAAAAAUUUGAAUUAAGACCAAUAGUUCAUUUAUUAGUUAUUGAGGUUUAAAUUUGUUGUAAAAAUUACUAGGAUUUGGUUAGGAUUUGAUUUAGAGUUAGGAUUUGGUUAGGGUUUGAUUUAGGGAUUAGGGUUUGGUUAGGAUUUGAUUUAGGAUUUAGGAUUAGGCUUAGAAUUUGAUUAGGAUUUGAUUUAGGAUUAGAAUUUAGUUAAAAUUUGAUUAGGAUUUGAUUUAGGAUUAGGAUUUGGUUUAGAGUUUAGAGUUUUGUCAGGGUUUGAUUUAGGAUUAGGAUUUGAUUAAGAUUAAGUUUAAGAUUUAAUUAAGAUUUGAUUUAGGAUUUAGGAUUUAGUUUAGGGUUGAUUAGGAUUUGAUUUAGGAUUAGGAUUUGGUUAGGAUUUGGUUAGGGUUUGAUUUAGGAUUAGGAUUUGGUUUAGGAUUUAAAAUUUGGUUAGGAUUUAAGAUUUGGUUAAGAUUUGAUUUAGGAUUAGGAUUUGGUUUAGAAUUUAGGGUUUGGUUAAGGUUUGAUUUAAGAUUAGGAUUUGGUUUAGGAUUUAGGAUUUGAUUAGGGUUUUAUUUAGGAUUUAGGAUUUCAUUUAAGAUUUAGGGUUUAGUUUAGGAUUUAAGAUUUGGUUAGGAUUUGAUCAAGAUUUGAUUUAGGGUUUAGGAUUUUAUUUGAUUUUAUUUAGUAUUUAAGAUUUAAUUAAUUUUUGGCCUAAAGUUUGAAUGAAGUCCAAUAAGAUUUCAACUAAGAUUAAAUUAAUAUUGAAUUGAGAUGUAUUAGAGAUAUGUUUGUAAUUAUUCUAAUAUUUUUUUAAGUUUUCUUAUUAUUUCUUUGGAAUUCCUUUGAGGUUUCUUUGAAUUUGAAUGAAGCUUGUUUAGCAUUAUUAGUUUUUUAUUAGAAUUAGGAUUUUUUUGUUGCAAUUUCCAUUCUACCUUCCACAACCAGGUGAUUGGAGCAUUCUCAAGCAAGACUUCACGUAUUAUGAUACCGCAUUAUUGGACAAGAUAUUCUAAUUUAUUUUGGCACCGCCUUGAGUCCAAAAUUUUGUCUACUUUAAAAUAUUCAUUAUUCUCUACUUCUAUAAGAAGAGGUGGGACUUGACUUUUCAUUAGUAUGUUCACAAUUUUAUAUGGUUUAAGAAGAGACAUGUAGAAGAUAGGAUGGAUCUUCAUUGACUUUGAUAGAUGUA